rnacentral:lncRNA from 1 species
UUUAUCACUCCUAAUUCCCAAAUUCGAUUUCCCCUUCGCAAUCUUUUCUGCCUCCGCUCUCCAUUCCCCACCCCCACCGGCUCUCCACUCCCCAAUCGCUCGAUCUGCCCCUCCCACCGCCACGAUUUGCUUUGCCGGACCACCCGGCUCUCCUUCCACCUUCGCCCACCGCUGCGAUAUAUUCUCCCUUCGUUGUCUUUUCUGCACACCGGCCGGCUCUCCCUUCCACCGCCGCGAUCUGCUUCGCUGGACCACCCGACCCUCCUUUCCCAUUCCCCCACCGCUGCGAUCUGCCCCUCCCACCGCCGCGAUCUGCUGCUCAAGCCUCAAUUUCGUCUCCAAAUUCAUUCUCUCCCCCGUCGUCGAUGGCCCGUUCUUCGUGUGAAUAUCGACGAGUGAGAUAUUUCAAUGAAUGUUGCGUACGGGAAGGCCGCAAUCACCUCUGUCUGCUUCUCUUCGCCGGCCGCCACUCGGCCGUCUGGCUAGAAAUCACCAUUACCGCUGCUGCCACCUCCUCUGACAUGGUAAGUAUUCUAUUAGGAAAGUACAAUUGUAAAUAUAGAAUGAUUAGGUCUCUACUUAGAAAGAACAAAUUUUGGAAAGAUUAAAAGUAUAUACAAUCAUUUAGGUAAUUGUUUAACAAUGGAAACUUCAAAACCUAGAUUUUUAGUGAUAAAUUCAUUAGUUCACCUUUGCAUCCACUCUUACAGACGCACGGUAUUCUCCUUUGUUUCUGUAUGUCACCCGAAAAUUGCCUGGAAAAAGAUUUCAAGGUAUGUUUUUUGAAUUCGAUUUUGGCUAAUUUUUGUUUUAGUUGUCGGGUUGUACUCUUUUGAUAAUAAUUGAUAAUCUUUUGAUAUAUAUGUGUGAUAAUGGCUGGCAAUGCAGAGAGGUUAUCUCUCCAGUUAGGCCGUCGAUUUCCCAAUAUCCGACGCCAUAUCUCCCACCAGCANGAGGAAUCAGAAAGCGCCAGAGGAAUCGAAUGCCAGAGGAAUCAGAAAGCGCCAGAGGAAUCGAAUGCCAGAGGAAUUAUAAGCGCCAGCGGAAUCACCAGUCAGAGAAACCGAGAGCCAGAGCGGAAGCCGUUCCGCUGGCGAGAGCCGCGAUUUCCGCCAUAGUGGAGAUUAUUUCCAGAGCGCGCGUCACAGCUGGACUUACCUUCCUUUGCACGAUUCUAUUCCUUUUAGAGUCCGGCUUUGCAUGGCAACUUCCAUGGUGAUCCCUAGGGAUUUGAAGUCUAUAAAUAGGGCCAUACUUUUCAUUGUAAAAAUAUAAUCCCUUGCCCUAGUUUUAGACGCCAUCUUUGUGAUCUGUUGGCAUCCGAAGCUUAGGAAUUUAAUUGCUUUCAUAGUUUCGAGUUUUUAUUGUUCUAAGUUAGAUUUCAAUUUAGUUUUUAGUUUAGUUUCUUGGAUUGUGAUUGAGUGACACAAUUACACGUUCAAGACGUUUACGGUAUUUCGUAUUUAAAUUCAAUUUAUUUCUGUUUAAUCAUGUUUAUGUUUUUCGUUCAUGUUUAUGCUUUCGUUUUAAUUAUGCAAUUUAAAUUAUGCACUUUAGUUUCACGCCUAGAUUAGUUGGUUUUUAAUUUACAAGUAUUUAAUUUCUUAAGUUAGGUUUAAUUUGAGUUGUUUAGAUUCUUGCCUAGGUUAAGUUUAAAUUCAAGUUUAAUUUAAGUUUAAGUUUAAGUUUCAGUUUUUAAAUUCAAACUCUUUACUGCUUUCUUUACUGUUUUUCCUGCGAUACAAUUAGAAGCCCUUAAAGACUUUCCUUGAGAGAUGACACUGGGUCAGCUUACCAUCACUAGAAUGUCCUUGUUCUAUUGUAAGUCAAACUAGAGGUGUUUUAGGUUGAGUCACACAUAAUAUUUUAUUAUUUAAUCUUUAAAACACUAACGAAAUAAUUUAUCACUCCUAAUUCCCAAAUUCGAUUUCCCCUUCGCAAUCUUUUCUGCCUCCGCUCUCCAUUCCCCACCCCCACCGGCUCUCUAUUCCUCAAUCGCUCGAUCUGCCCCUCCCACCGCCGCGAUUUGCUUCGUUGGACCACCCGGCUCUCCUUCCAUCUUCGCCCACCGCUGCGAUAGAUUCUCCCUUCGUUGUCUUUUCUGCACAUCGGCUCUCCCUUCCACUGCCGCAAUCUGCUUCGCUGGACCACCCGACCCUCUUUCCCCAUUCCUCCACCGCUGCGAUCUGCCCUUCCCACCGCCGCGAUCUGCUGCUCAAGCCUCAAUUUCGUCCCCAAAUUCAUUCUCUCCCCCGUCGCCGAUGGCCCGUUCUUCGUGUGAAUAUCGACGAGUGAGAUAUUUCAAUGAAUGUUGCGUACGGGAAGGCCGCAAUCGCCUCUGUCUGCUUCUCUUCGCCGGCCGCCACUCGGCCGUCUGGCUAGAAAUCGCCAUUACCGCUGCUGCCACCUCCUCUGACAUGGUAAGUAUUCUAUUAGGAAAGUACAAUUGUAAAUAUAGAAUGAUUGGGUCUCUACUUAGAAAGAACAAAUUUUGGAAAGAUUAAAAGUAUAUACAAUCAUUUAGGUAAUUGUUUAACAAUGGAAACUUCAAAACCUAGAUUUUUAGUGAUAAAUUCAUUAGUUCACCUUUGCAUCCACUCUUACAGACGCACGGUAUUCUCCUUUGUUUCUGUAUGUCACCCGAAAAUUGC